rnacentral:rRNA from 1 species
GUGGGGAAUCUUGCGCAAUGGACGAAAGUCUGACGCAGCGACGCCGCGUGGGUGAUGAAGGCCUUCGGGUUGUAAAGCCCUGUGGGGAGGGACGAAUAAGUAGAAGCUAACACCUUCUAUGAUGACGGUACCUCCUUAGCAAGCACCGGCUAACUCUGUGCCAGCAGCCGCGGUAAGACAGAGGGUGCAAACGUUGUUCGGAAUUACUGGGCGUAAAGCGUGUGUAGGCGGCUACGUAAGUCGGAUGUGAAAGCCCUGGGCUCAACCCAGGAAGUGCACUCGAUACUGCGUAGCUUGAGUCUCGGAGAGGUUGGUGGAAUUCUCGGUGUAGAGGUGAAAUUCGUAGAUAUCGAGAGGAACACCGGUGGCGAAGGCGGCCAACUGGACGAAGACUGACGCUGAGACACGAAAGCGUGGGGAGCAAACAGGAUUAGAAACCCUAGUAGUCC